rnacentral:miRNA from 1 species
UUCUUCUUUCUUUCCUUUUUCC